GGACUACUAGGGUAUCUAAUCCUGUUUGCUCCCCUAGCUUUCGCAGCUUAGUGUCAGUAAUGGUCCAGGUACCUGCUUUCGCCAUUGGUGUUCCUCCCGAUCUCUGCGCAUUUCACCGCUACACCGGGAAUUCCAGUACCCUCUCCCAUACUCAAGCCUGGUAGUUUCUGUUGACCUCUCCCAGUUAAGCCGGGAGCUUACACAACAGACUUACCAAACCACCUACCUGCCCUUUACGCCUAGUAAUUCCGAGUAACGCUUGCCACCUUCGUAUUACCGCGGCUGCUGGCAC
rnacentral:rRNA from 1 species